rnacentral:tRNA from 1 species
GCCUGGGUGGCUCAGUGGUUGAGCGUCUGCCUUCAGUUCAGGACGUGAUCCUGGGGUCCUGGGAUAAAGUCCCGCUUCGGGCU